GCGCUCGUGGCGAAAUUGGUAGACGCGCCAGACUUAGGAUCUGGUACUUCGCGGUGUGUAGGUUCGAGUCCUAUCGGGCGCACCA
rnacentral:tRNA from 1 species